CGGAGACGGCGCCGGAAGCAAGGACGACGGCGGCGGCGGCGGCGGCGGCGGCGGCGGCGGUGGCUGCUGCUCGUGUUGCUGCUGUUGCUGCUGCUGCAAGCCACGAGCAGGGGCCGAGGCGAGCAGCGAAGGCAGCGCGGGCUGGUGGCGGCCCACAAUGCUGCUGUUGCUGCUCGUGCUGCUGCUCGUCGUCUUCGUCCUCAUCUCGGGCAUCCUGCUCUACUACAACUAUAUCACCUACAGACCCAGACUACCACUGACAGAUGAUUUCAGCUACGAUAUACCUCCAAUUCCUACAGAAGAGCCAUGCGAGGAGGCGCCUUGCUGGUGGGGCGCGGAGUGUGAGUCGGUGGAGGGCCGCCCGCUCUGCCG